UGGGGAAUUUUGGACAAUGGGGGCAACCCUGAUCCAGCCAUGCCGCGUGAGUGAAGAAGGCCUUCGGGUUGUAAAGCUCUUUCGGCCGGGAAGAAAUCGCUUCGGCUAAUACCUGGAGUGGAUGACGGUACCGGAAGAAGAAGCACCGGCUAACUACGUGCCAGCAGCCGCGGUAAUACGUAGGGUGCGAGCGUUAAUCGGAAUUACUGGGCGUAAAGCGUGCGCAGGCGGUUUCGUAAGACAGAUGUGAAAUCCCCGGGCUUAACCUGGGAACUGCGUUUGUGACUGCGAGACUUGAGUGCGGCAGAGGGGGGUGGAAUUCCACGUGUAGCAGUGAAAUGCGUAGAGAUGUGGAGGAACACCGAUGGCGAAGGCAGCCCCCUGGGUCGACACUGACGCUCAUGCACGAAAGCGUGGGGAGCAAACAGGAUUAGAAACCCUAGUAG
rnacentral:rRNA from 1 species